rnacentral:rRNA from 1 species
UCCUAGCUCAGGAUGAACGCUGGCGGCGUGCUUAACACAUGCAAGUCGAACGGAAAGGCCUCUAGCUUGCUAGGGGUACUCGAGUGGCGAACGGGUGAGUAACACGUGGGUGAUCUGCCCUGCACUUUGGGAUAAGCUUGGGAAACUGGGUCUAAUACCGAAUAUGACCAUUGUUUGGAUGCGAUGGUGGAAAGCUUUUGCGGUGUGGGAUGAGCCUGCGGCCUAUCAGCUUGUUGGUGGGGUAAUGGCCUACCAAGGCGGCGACGGGUAUCCGGCCUGAGAGGGUGUACGGACACAUUGGGACUGAGAUACGGCCCAGACUCCUACGGGAGGCAGCAGUAGGGACGAAGCGUUUAUGUGACGGUACCUGGAUAAGAAGCACCGGCUAACUACGUGCCAGCAGCCGCGGUAAUACGUAGGGUGCGAGCGUUGUCCGGAAUUACUGGGCGUAAAGAGCUCGUAGGUGGUUUGUCGCGUCGUCUGUGAAAUCCCGGGGCUUAACUUCGGGCGUGCAGGCGAUACGGGCAUAACUUGAGUGCUGUAGGGGAGA